rnacentral:lncRNA from 1 species
AUGGACUUUAACUCGCCAGGCUCCUCUGUGCAUAGGAUUCUCCAGGCAAGAAUACUGGAGUGGGUAGCCAUUUCCUUCUUCUGGGGGUCUUCCCGACAUGGUAUUGAAACUCUGUCUCCUGCGUUGUCAGGCAGAUGCUUCACCACUGAGCCACGUGGAAAGCAUAGGCCAGAGAAGAGUUUCAGCUAAGCAUCUGCCCAAAUCCCCAUCCUUCAGUAGUUCUCAGUUUUUUAUCUUGUGCAAAUAAUUUACUGGAAUCUGCCUUACUACUUUUCACUGUGAAAAUAAUAAUAAUAAAAAAAACAACUGUCUUUAUGAGCACUUUUAAUGUGUGUUUGGUUCUGCUCUAAGCACUAUACCUGUGUUGCUUACAUUUAUCCUCCUCACAAUCCUAAGAAAUUGGGGUGCCAUUAUUACCCCCAUGGAAAUAAAUGAAGACCAACCAAAUGAAAACAAACAUUCAGCGCUUGCUGUAGGAAGGGAGUUGGCCCCCAUCACUUGCACCUGCCAGAGACUCUGGGCAGUCAGGGGAGUGGGAAAGCUAUAAAAAGGGGGCAGGCUUCAUGUCUGCUCUGAUUAGAAGCUGUUGGCAUGGAGAUGUAGGAGGCAGGCUAACUAGAAGUGGGGCAUCUUUUGUGAUUUGUUUGAGGAGUAUAUUCAGCUUUCUCAGGUUGGUUGUGAGUUGAAAGGAAGGACAAAAAUCUAGGGAAGCUGGCAGUCUUGGCCACAUCCUGACAGUUCUGAGCCAAUUACUGUACAGGUGAUGGUUGGGCUUCCUGGGCUGGUUGCUAUAGAGGUAACAGGCCAGAGUUCUACUGUCAUAGAUAGUUCGACCAUUGUUCAUUUGCCCAUUGUCUCAUUCCUACAUUGUGGGUGAGGAAACCAAGGCACAGAGAACUUAAGUGACUUGGCCAAGGUGUUGUAGCCAAUAAAGCCAGAUUUGGGAUUUGGUGCNNNNNNNNNNNNNNNNNNNNNNNNNNNNNNNNNNNNCUCUGCCUGCCACCUAUCCCAGUCCCUCUCCUUGCCAGUGUGAUCCAGAGCAAAUUUGCUUCAUUCUUCUUGACUCUCUUUCCUCAUUUAACUAAAAAACGAACAAACAAACAAAAACAAGCCAAUUUCCUUGCAGGGUUUUGUGAGAAUUCAAGGAGCUAACAGCUGUAAAAUACCUGGUGUAUGACAGAUACUGGGAAUAUGUGUCUUACCUCUGAGAGAAUAAGAAUGAACUUUGUAAAAAUAGAUUAGUUUGCAAAUAAGAUAGAUCAUUAUUUACAUUCCCCAUUUUUUUUGUUUGUUUUUGACAAGGAGAUUUGGAGAGUUUAUUUGAAACACUUCAGGCUGCUUUACUCUGAAAGGAGUAAGCUUUAUGGCUCCACACCCCCACUACUAAUUUAAUAAAUUGUCUAAAAACUUACCCAUCAUUUCUGCAAAUCCUUUCCAUUGAAAUUGUCACAGUUUAAAGUCAUUUAUGCUAUUUUCCUUACUCUGGCAGUCCCCACAGAAGCAUAUGCUUUCAAUUUACAGAGUUAAACCCAGAGACCAUGAGCUGGUCUGAUUAAUUAGAAAUGACCAGAGUAGGAUGCCGUCCCCAACACAACAGUGACUCUUCUUCAUACUCUCAAUAACUAGUUCAUAUCCCCCAAGCUUUCUUGGUGGUUCAGAUGGUAAAGAAAUCUGCCUGCAGUGUAUGAGGUGUGGGUCUGAUCGCUGGGUCCAGAAGAUUCCCUGGAGAAGGGAAUGGCUACCCACUCUAGUAUUCUUGCCUGNNNNNNNNNNNNNNNNNNNNNGCCUGAUGGGCUACAGUCCAUGGGGUCGCAAAGAAUCAGACAUGACUGAGUGGCUAACACUUUCACUUUUCAUGCUCUAAUUUAAAGCAUUUGGUCUUCAUAGUUGGUUUAUUUCAGGUCCAGAGAACAGUAAUUUGCCCAGCUGCAUUGCUGAUUACCCAAGGGGCUGCCUGAGCUUCUUUGGGGAAUGCAUAGCCCAAAUCAAAGCCUCUGAGAACCUUGGAGAAUCAAAAUGCAGAAACCUUGAUAUUUGCAAGCAAAUAGUACUGAGCUCACAGGGAAAGAAAGCGCAGGGGAAUAAAGGUUGGAUGAGACUUAAUGA